UCAGUGUUUACGUCAAAAUCAAAAUUGUUGUCAAAAAAGUGACAGGAACGUUGCCUGUAUUAUCCGGUGUCACUAUUUCGUGUGAACUAUUCUGCCAAAUUUCUGGGUUCAUCUACAUCAAGCCUUCAAUCAACAUGUUUAAGAAGUUCGACGAGAAGGAGAGCAUAAGCGGUACGCAGCAGCUCAAAUCUUCGGUGCAGAAGGGCAUCAGGGCGCGCCUGCUGGAACUGUACCCGCACCUCGAGCAGUACAUCGACCAGGUGCUGCCCAAGAAGGACACCUUCAGGAUUGUCAAAUGCCACGACCACAUCGAAAUAAUGGUGAACAGCGCGGGAGAGCUGCUCUUCUUCAGACACCGCGAAGGACCCUGGAUGCCGACAUUAAGACUGCUACAUAAGUACCCAUUCUUCCUACCAAUGCAGCAAGUCGACAAAGGCGCCAUUCGCUUCGUCCUCAGCGGCGCCAACAUCAUGUGUCCCGGCCUCACCUCGCCCGGCGCGAGAAUGUCGCCAGUCGACAAAGGACAAGUUGUCGCUGUGAUGGCUGAGGGGAAGCAGCACGCGUUGGCUAUCGGGAUGACCUCUCUGUCUACUGACGACAUGUAAGGCUGUUGCUAUCUCAUUCUAGCCUUCGCUCGACGCGUGAAUGUCGCCAGUCGACAAAGGACAAGUUGUCGCCGUGAUGGCUGAGGGGAAACAGCACGCGUUGGCUAUCGGGAUGACAUCUCUGUCUACUGAUGACAUAGCUAAAGUGAACAAGGGCGUGGGCAUAGAGAAUUGCCACUAUCUCAACGACGGCCUCUGGCAAAUGAAACCUGUGAAGUAAAUCGUUCGCACUAAAUCAUCUUGUACUAAUAUUUAUGUUUUAAGUUUUUUAAUAAAUACUUCUUAGCUUACA